GAUGAACGCUAGCGGCAGGCCUAAUACAUGCAAGACGAACGGUAACUUUUGUAGCAAUACGAGAGCUAGAGUGUCGUAAGGGUGCGUAACGGGUAUGCAAUCUGCCCUCAACAGGAGAAUAGCUCCCCGAAAGGGGAAUUAACACUCCGUAAUAUCGCGAUUUGGCAUCGAGUUGCGAUUAAAACCACGGUGGUUGAGGAUGAGCAUGCUUCUGAUUAGUUAGUUGGCGGGGUAACGGCCCACCAAGACGAUGAUCAGUAGGGGAACUGAGGGGUUGAUCCCCCACACUGGCACUGAGAUACGGGCCAGACUCCUACGGGAGGCAGCAGUAGGGAAUAUUGGACAAUGGGUGCGAGCCUGAUCCAGCCAUGCCGCGUGAAGGAUGAAGGUCCUCUGGAUUGUAAACUUCUUUUAUAUGGGACGAAAAAAGGCUUUUCUAAGUCGUCUGACGGUACCAUGUGAAUAAGCACCGGCUAACUCUGUGCCAGCCGCCGCCGUAAUAC
rnacentral:rRNA from 1 species